GGGGAUUUAGCUCAGUGGCAAAAGCACCUGCCUUGCAAGCGUGAGGUCGUGAGUUCAAUCCCCG
rfam:Cavia porcellus supercont2_52 genomic scaffold, whole genome shotgun sequence.